GGGGGCAUAGCUCAGUGGUAAAGUGCAUGCCUAGAAUGUAUGAGCCCCUUGAUUUGGUCUCUGCCCCCA
rnacentral:tRNA from 1 species